rnacentral:lncRNA from 1 species
CUUCCUUGCUGACUAAGAGGAACAGAACACAGAGCAGCCUGGCGGUGUCCUACCAACAAGCCUCCGUUUCUCCUUCCUGUACACUAGGGCUCCUGAAACUCACCUGGUAAGCGCUCCAGAAAAGCAGCAGGUGGUGACUUUAGGGUAGGACGGGCCAAAUGGGAGAAUCCCCUUAGGUCGGUUUCUCUGGUUCUCAACUUCUUUUGAAAUAACGCUCGCAGAGGAGGUGGGCUUUCUGAGAACUGAGGGAAGUAAGCUCUCAGGACUUCCGGUCGCCAUGAUGGCUGUGGGCAGUCAAUGGGGUCAGUGCAAGCAUCUGGGCCAUCUUUAAUGUGGGCAGGAAAAAAACACGAUUACACUUACUUCUGCAGAGUUUAUAAUAUCCUUGUUCAUUAUUUAAAAUAAAAUAUCUAAGACAUAGGUAAUAGUAUAUUUUAAAUAAAAUUGAAGCAAUAUAUGAAAUUUCUCUGGAAUUCAUCCAGCCACUCUCAGCUGUUACCACUAUCCAGAAACGUCUUAAUCCGCCUGCAUGAUUUAUGUAUUUGGUUUGUAUUUUAAAUAUCAUUUUCUGUAAUAUUUAAAAGUUGUAUUUGCUUGGUAUCCUGCUAUGCAUUCUCAUGCAAUUUGAUUUUUAAUCAAUAUUACUUUUUUUUUUUUUUGAGAUGAAGUCUCCGUCUGUCACCCAGGCUGGAGUGUAAUGGAGCAAUCUCGGCUCACUGCAACCUCUGCCUCCCAGGUUCAAGCGAUUCUCUUGCCUCAGCCUCCCGAGUAGCUGGAAUUAUAGGUGCAUGCCACCACGCUCGGCUAAUUUUUUGUAUUUUUAGUAAAGACGGAGUUUCACCAUGUUGGUCAGGAUGGUCUCCGUCUCUUGACCUCGAGAUCAGCCCGCCUCGGCCUCCCAAAGUGCUGGGAUUACAGGCGUGAGCCACUGUGCCCGGCCUUGGUUUCUAAAUACUAUUUUGAAGUAUCUGUGGAGAAAUGGUUACUUCGAGGGCUGGGGCAGGAAUAUAUAAGAUAACAUUGGAACAAAUUCUGACGCCAGAACAUGAAGAAAUAUUUGAAAAAGGAUGGGGCAUAUUGACUGAACACAGAAGACAAACAUGCAUGACCUCAGCCUAAUCGUGAGAAAACAUCAAAGAAAUCCAAAUUGAUAAACAUUCUGUAAAAUAAUUGGCCAUGCUCAGCAAAAGUGUCACAAUCACAAAAGACAAGGGAAGAAUAAGAAACGGUCACAGCCUGGAGGAAUCUAAGGACAUAACAACUGAGUGCAAUGUGAGAUCCUCGAUUCGAUCUUGGAGAAGAAAGAGGACGUUAAGAGAAAUAUUGACAAAAUUCAAAUAAGGUCUGCACAUUAGGUAAUGGUAAGAUACGUUGACAUCAAUUUCCUGGUUGGAUACUUGUAUUACAUAUACUAUUAUGUAUAUAAUUAUUAUAUUACAAUUACAUAUACAGUUGUAUAUUAUAUAUAAUACAAUAAAUGUAUAUAUAUGAUUAUAAUACAAUAAAUGUAUAUAUACAGUUUUAUAUAUAACAACUAUUAUACAUAUAAUACAAUUAUAUAUAUAGCUAACAUCAGGAUAGGCUGGUUGAGGAUUUAUAUGAAUCUUUGCUAAUUUUGCAUGUUUAAAAUUAUUUCAACAUAAAAAAAUUAUAUGGGUCAUGUAGUUUUUUGUGCAGUUUAAUUCUAGGCACCAUAGUUUCUGUUUUAAUGGGUGUAUUUUCUUCUUUCAAGGAAUUGGGAUAGUCUGUUGUAUUAAAAACCUAUUCAUUUUUGUACAUUAAGAUUCUUCUGGCCAGGCGCAAUGGCUCAAGCCUAUAAUCCCAGCACUUGGGAACCUGAGGCAGGCAGAUCACCUGAGGUCAGGAGUUCAAGACCAGCAUGUCCAACAUGGUGAAACCCCAUCUCUACUAAAAAUACAAAAAAAAUUAGCCAGGCAUGGUGGCACAUGCCUGUAAUCCCAGCUACUUGGGAGGCUGAGGAGGAGACUCACUAGAACUCAGGAAGCAGAGGUUGCAGUGAGCCAAGACUGCGCCACUGCACUCUGGCCUAAGCAACAGAGGGAGACUCCAUCUCAAAAAAAAAAAAAGAUUAUUUCUCUAACUUACUGGUUUAUCUUUUAUAGCUUAUUUCAGGUGAUUUGUUGUGUUUGUCUAUAGAGUAAAAUAACAUGUCUAAUGAGUUAUAAUUUAAUGUCCUUCCAUUCAAUCACUGUAUUUCAAAUUUAUUCCAAUAUUUUGGAAUAAGCUUCCAAUAUUUUAACUUAAAUAGGGAAGGUCAUACUUGGUAUUUUCCUGACCUCAGCUGGAAUGCCUUCAUAGUGUUCACAUGAACACAUUUGGCCUGAGAGAGACUUAUUAUGCCGAGAAUGUGUGUAACCCUUUUUACUUAGGAAUUGUGGGUGGAGUUUUUCCCCCCGCCCAAGAAUGAUUGUUAAUUUCCGUCCAUCAUUUUCCUUUGAUUGUUCUUCAUCUCGAAAACAAAUAAUAAAAUAAUAAAAUAAAUAAAUAAA